rnacentral:rRNA from 1 species
UACAGAGGUCCCAAGCGUUGUUCGGAUUCACUGGGCGUAAAGGGUGCGUAGGCGGUCGGGUAAGUCUGACGUGAAAUCUUCAAGCUCAACUUGGAAACUGCGUCGGAUACUAUUCGGCUCGAGGAAUGGAGGGGAGACUGGAAUUCUCGGUGUAGCAGUGAAAUGCGCAGAUAUCAGGAGGAACACCGGUGGCGAAGGCAGUGUCCUGGCGAGUGACUGACGCUGAGGUGCGAAAGCCAGGGGAGCGAACGGG